rnacentral:rRNA from 1 species
UACGUAGGGCGCAAGCGUUGUCCGGAAUCAUUGGGCGUAAAGCGCGUGUAGGCGGCCCGAUAAGUCCGCUGUGAAAGUCCAGGGCUCAACCCUGGGAUGCCGGUGGAUACUGUCGGGCUCGAGUCCGGAAGAGGCGAGUGGAAUUCCUGGUGUAGCGGUGAAAUGCGCAGAUAUCAGGAGGAACACCAAUGGCGAAGGCAGCUCGCUGGGACGUGACUGACGCUGAGACGCGAAAGCGUGGGGAGCAAACAGG